GUGUGACCGGGUGUGUCCAGGUGUGUCCAGAUGUGACCGGGUGUGUCCAGAUGUGACCAGGUGUGCCUGGGUGUGACCGGGUGUGACCAGGUGUGACCGGGUGUGUCCAGGUGUGUCCAGAUGUGACUGGGUGUGUCCAGGUGUGUCCAGGUGUCCCCAGGUGUCCCCAGGUGUGCCCAGGUGU